rnacentral:rRNA from 1 species
UACGUAGGGGGCAAGCGUUGUCCGGAUUUAUUGGGCGUAAAGAGCUCGUAGGCGGUUUGGUAAGUCGGAUGUGAAAUCUCCAGGCUCAACCUGGAGGGGUCACUCGAUACUGCCAUGACUAGAGUUCGGUAGGGGAGUGUGGAAUUCCUGGUGGAGCGGUGAAAUGCGCAGAGAUCAGGAGGAACACCCGUAGCGAAGGCGGCACUCUGGGCCGAUACUGACGCUGAGGAGCGAAAGCGUGGGGAGCGAACAGG